rnacentral:rRNA from 1 species
GACGUAGGGGGCUAGCGUUGUUCGGAAUUACUGGGCGUAAAGCGCACGUAGGCGGCUUUGCAAGUUAGAGGUGAAAGCCCGGGGCUCAACUCCGGAAUUGCCUUUAAAACUGCAUCGCUAGAAUUGUGGAGAGGUAAGUGGAAUUCCGAGUGUAGAGGUGAAAUUCGUAGAUAUUCGGAAGAACACCAGUGGCGAAGGCGACUUACUGGACACAUAUUGACGCUGAGGUGCGAAAGCGUGGGGAGCAAACAGG